rnacentral:rRNA from 1 species
GAUCAGGCUCAGGAUGAACGCUAGCUACAGGCUUAACACAUGCAAGUCGAGGGGCAGCAUGGUCUUAGCUUGCUAAGGCUGAUGGCGACCGGCGCACGGGUGAGUAACACGUAUCCAACCUGCCGUCUACUCUUGGCCAGCCUUCUGAAAGGAAGAUUAAUCCAGGAUGGCAUCAUGAGUUCACAUGUCCGCAUGAUUAAAGGUAUUUUCCGGUAGACGAUGGGG